CCGCGGCUGCUGGCAGCAGACUUGCCCUCCAAUUGGUACUCGUUAAAGGAUUUAAAGUGUACUCAUUCCGAUUACGGGGCCUCGGAUGAGUCCCGUAUCGUUAUUUUUCGUCACUACCUUCCCGUGCCGGGAGUGGGUAAUUUGCGCGCCUGCUGCCUCCCGUAGGAG
rnacentral:rRNA from 1 species